rnacentral:lncRNA from 11 species
GCUGGAAGUGAGCAAGACCCAAAGUGUGAAGUAGCUGUUUGCAAGGAAGAAGCUGUUUGCAAGACUGUUCCAUACACACUCUGAUUCUUUGCUGUUGAAUGCCUUCUCAAAGUCAACAAAAGUGAGGACGAGUGGCAUCUGGUAUUCGCGGGCAGCUUCCAGUAUUCUAUUAACAGUCAGGAUGUGAUCAGUGGUGGAGAAUGAGUGUCAGAAUCC